GGCUGUGGCUCAGUGAUAGAGCGCUUGCCUAGCACGUGUGAGGCCCUGGGUUCGAUCCUCAGCACGACA
rnacentral:tRNA from 1 species